rnacentral:SRP_RNA from 1 species
GCCGGGCAUGGUGGCUCACACCUACCGUCCCAGCUACUCAGGGGGCUGAGGUGGGAGGAUCGCUUGAGCCCAAGAGUUCUGGGUUGCAGUGUACUAUGCAGAUAGAUCAGGUGUCUGCACGAAGUCUGGCAUCAAUAUGGUGAUAUUCUGGGAGUGGGGGACCACCAGGUUGCCUAAGGAGGGGUAAACUGACUUAGGUUGGAAAGGGAGCAGGACAAAACUCCUAUGCUGAUCGUAGGAGUUUUGAUCAGCAUAGGAGUUUCGUCCUGCUCUCAGUAUGCUUCAGCAAUCUCCUAACUGC